AACGUUGGUUGACUUCCUUGCUUUGUUUGUAUAAAUGUUUAUUCAAGCUUUGUAAUUAAGAUUGACAUCUUCAUAUAUAGGUAUGUAAACCUGUAUAUAUGAUAUUUAAAUUCAAUUGGACAUUAUCAAAAUAUACACACAAAGCAAGCAAGCUAACCAAAGUGUUGAUCUUCAUAAAUUAGGAAAUUAGCUGUAAGUUUAAGUCAGAUCAGCCGACAUGUUUAUCAUUUCUUCUUAAGACAAUUUGAAAUGAAACAAAUGACAAACGGCAAUGACCCUUUGUCAUAAUUUUAUUUUUAUUAUGAGAUUUUGUCAAACAAGCAGUAUAAAUAAAUUUUAACUUCAUUGCAAGAUCGGACAUUAUUUUACGAGAAUCAUCCAGAUAUCAGUUACCUGCAUACGUUGCAAGUAUGUCAAAACUUCUAAGAAUAAUUUUUUAUCGGCCUGACCUUCUGAAUACUCAAUUUUUGAAAGUUUUGAAAAAAAGACAUUAAAAAAGAAGGAUCAAAUCAUACGGAACAUGUGUACUAAGUUUUUAAGUUGACAGGACUUCAGCUUCAUCAAAAACUACCUUGACCAAAAACCUAACCUGAAGCUGGACGGACGGACGGACUGACGGACAAACGGACGCACAGACCAGAAAACAUAAAUUGGACAUAAAAAUAACUCUCACCAUUCUAAUAACCCCGGUAACCUGUACACAAUCGGCGCAAAUGAAAGACAAAAUCUACCCAAGUGAAAGAAUGAAAACAAAUAAAAUGCAGAUCGGUGCAAAUAUAAGACAAAAUCUAUACGCAUGUGAAAUAAUAAAUAAAUGAGAUGCAAAAAGUCG
rnacentral:lncRNA from 1 species